UUACCUAGCAUUCAUGGGGCUUCCCUUGGAAUGAGGAAGUAGAAAACACACAGGCUAAUUUUGGAGAAUUAAGAAACGUGCUUGGAGUUUGCCACUUGGUGGGCUCUGCGUGACCCGUUUAUGAACUGAUUUGCAGUGAGACAGAUCUGACUGUGAACAUGCAAAUUCUUCAGUAAUGUGUUUUGUAGAGAUGAGGGGGAAAUGGAUCAACCUCUGGUCAUCAUCUAUCGCACAAGUGUGUCUUAAUGACUAUGGAAAUAUCAGCUCCACAGCAUACUGUGAUUUAUGAGGAAAGUUUAGCCGAACCCUUCGGCUCAUUGUUUGUAGUGCUCUCUCCGAGCGGAGGCGGCCUCGGGCCACACCGUUUUUCCUUACUUUUCCUACUACCUAUCCUUAUUCCGUGGCAUAUUCUACGUCAUCACUCCUCUAUCCUUUUUGAUUCGGCUGAGGCACCCGGUCUCUUCUGCCUGGAAAGUCAUCCUGUACGGACGUCUCGCUCCGUAACCAUAUUCUGUUCGGGUUAGCGCCAUGAAAGUUCCGGUUUGGUAGCUAAACUCCAGGCAGGAGGGCCCAUCUCGAGGUAAUGCACAUAAUACUAGCGUAUUGAUUAUUGUUCUUGGAGGAAUUGUGUAAGCUGAGAAUGUAUUUAUACGUUUUGUCUGUAUUGUGUGUGCAGGCGAUUUCAGAGAUGGUAUUACACUAGCGUGAAGUUUGUUAUUAAGUAUGCCUUAUAUGUCGCUUGUGGCGGAGACAGCCAGUGCGAGUUGUGAUAGGAUAUAUUGUGGCUGAUUAUGCCGAAUAAUUGUCGUGUUUUCUUUUGGCACAAAUUACUCGUCAUAUAUUAAAUGUUAUUUGGUUUUCUUGUUUACCUUUUGUUUUUUUUUUUCAUUUUAGUAAUAGGUAGAAAACUCGUUCCCCAGCUGGUUGUGUGGGGGUUCAGACAGAUGGUAGCAGAGCGUAGUUUUACUAAGGUACUCCCAGCGUUAGUUUUUAUUUCUAGUGCCUGAGUGUGACUGGGCAUCAGCGAUUAUUUGGUGGGAGUGUUCUUGUGUUAUUUUGGGGGUGCUGUGUUGUAUGUAAUAUUAUCAACUUAUACCAGACUUUUGACUGUUUCAUGACAUCAUCAUGCCGUCGGCGUGGAUCCAUUCCCUGUCGAAGUAACAAGCCAAAUGGUUGGCGAUCGAAUUGGGCAUCUCUGUGGAUGGGACCUUUGACAACUUGCGGAGGAAAUUGAAGGAGAAAUGGAGCUCGCUGGAGCCACAUCUGCCUUCUCAGCCAACAGCUAAGUCUGAACUGGCCAUGGAUGCCGCGGCAUCUGUUGGGGCUUCUAGCCAGUUUACCUUCUUCCAUUUUUUCCUUCCUUUGGUGGCCGCCUGCAACUGGACGCCUCCAUCGUACCCAGGGCCCGGGAGGUCGGAGGGGCUUACUCUUUCAUCUACCUGGCAAGUGGAGGAUCGCAAAGAAGGGCCUCCUGAGUUAUGGACACCUGCGGACUGUGUUGUGCUGUGUUGGGGUAGUGUUGGUGCCGGUGCUCCGGGAGCGGAGAAGGAGCGGUAGCAGGGGAUUUCGACAAGAUGGUAGCAGCAGUGAGAGUGUUGUCACUGAUGAAUAAGCAAAAGCCGCUAUGAUGAGGUGACGAGUUUUGGUGAAGAAUGGUUUACUCCUGGGUAUGUUAGAGGAACACAAGUGGUCCUAGUGACGGUGGAAAUGAUACUGCCAAACUCUACCAGCAUUACGAGUUAUGCCAGUGGCUCUAUCCUUCAAGUGUCAUCAUCCUGAAUGUCACAUAUGUGCUUCUGCCUGUCUUAACUGCCUGCCUGCCUGAUUUUCUCAUGCAACCUUCCAGCUGGCAUUGUACUUCAUGGGGCUUCCCUUGGAGUGAGGAGGUAGAAAACCCACAGGCUAAUUUUGGAGAAUGAAGAUACCUGCUUGGAGUUUACCACUUGGUGGGCUCUGCGUGACCCGUUUAUGAACUGAUUUGCAAUGAGACAGAUCUGACUGUGUGAACAUGCAAAAGCUUCAGUGAUGUGUUUUGUAGAGAUCUGGGGGGAAUGGAUCAACCUCUGGUCAUCUUCUGUCGCACAAGUGUGUCUUAAUGACUGUGGGAAUAUCACCGCCACAGCAUACUUUUGAUUUAUGAGGAUACUUGGAUGCCCGCCUACCUGCCUGUCUUAGUCUGCUUGUGUCUUCCUCCUUGAGCCUGCCUGAUUGCAUACCUGCCUUUUCCAUCCAUGCAACUCAGAUGACCCAGUAUGAGUGUACUCAGUGUCAGUGUGAAGGAAGAAAUACCAGGAAGUACAUAUGUUUGGUACUGAGCUACCAGAAAUGCAAGAUAUAGCUCUGGAUGGCAGCGUUACAUUCGUAUCAGAAGCAGAAUGUAUACUGUCUACAAAGGCGAAACUCUGGGGGUAUCUACCUAAAUUCUUCAGAGUCUUCUGGCAGCAUUCCAAUGAGGAUCAGACAAGAAUGGCAUUGAAGAGGAAGGAGCAUUAUGAUGGAGAUCAUCCUGCUGCCAAGAGAGCAAGACCGUUGCAGGUGGAAGAUACUCAGGAAAUGUUUGGAUCGCUUGGCAGAACCUUCUUUCAGGAGUGCCCAGAAGAUGCUGACAACGAUGAUAUUUUGAUUUUAGAUUAUGAAGACCUUGUGAAAGAAAUGGACGACUGUUUAGUGAUUUAUACAUGUAGUUUUCUAAUUAUAUGUAUAAGGAAUGUAUUCUGAUUAUUUUGUAAUUUUCUAAUUAUAUAAGGAAUGUAUUUUUACUAUUUUAAAUUAAUAAAUCUGUAGUUAUGUAAACAGAAA